rnacentral:sRNA from 1 species
GCCAGGCAUGGUGGUGCAUACCUGUAAUCCCAGCUACUUGGGAGGCUGAGGCAGAAAAUUGCAAGUUCCAGCCACAGCAUCUU